CCUAACCAUGCAAGUCGAGCGGAUGACGGGAGCUUGCUCCUUGAUUCAGCGGCGGACGGGUGAGUAAUGCCUAGGAAUCUGCCUGGUAGUGGGGGACAACGUUUCGAAAGGAACGCUAAUACCGCAUACGUCCUACGGGAGAAAGCAGGGGACCUUCGGGCCUUGCGCUAUCAGAUGAGCCUAGGUCGGAUUAGCUAGUUGGUGGGGUAAUGGCUCACCAAGGCGACGAUCCGUAACUGGUCUGAGAGGAUGAUCAGUCACACUGGAACUGAGACACGGUCCAGACUCCUACGGGAGGCAGCAGUGGGGAAUAUUGGACAAUGGGCGAAAGCCUGAUCCAGCCAUGCCGCGUGUGUGAAGAAGGUCUUCGGAUUGUAAAGCACUUUAAGUUGGGAGGAAGGGCAGUAAGUUAAUACCUUGCUGUUUUGACGUUACCGACAGAAUAAGCACCGGCUAACUCUGUGCCAGCAGCCGCGGUAAUACAGAGGGUGCAAGCGUUAAUCGGAAUUACUGGGCGUAAAGCGCGCGUAGGUGGUUUGUUAAGUUGGAUGUGAAAGCCCCGGGCUCAACCUGGGAACUGCAUCCAAAACUGGCAAGCUAGAGUACGGUAGAGGGGUGGUGGAAUUUCCUGUGUAGCGGUGAAAUGCGUAGAUAUAGGAAGGAACACCAGUGUCGAAGGCGACCACCUGGGACUGAUACUGACACUGAGGUGCGAAAGCGUGGGGAGC
rnacentral:rRNA from 1 species